rnacentral:misc_RNA from 1 species
AUUUUUGCAUUUGUAAAACUAUGUAGAUUCGGCCUACUAAGUUGGCUAUUUGAAAUCCAUUAGUGUUUAGCUCUUCAAUUCCCCUGGAGCCUUCGUUGAAACUAAUCUUUUUUUUUUCCAAAGUGAGCUUAAAUUUCUGGUAGCAUGUGAUUGUGCUUUGAAGCUAUCUUAUACAGAUGAUGAUCAUUGGAUUACAAGCAUUCAGAAGUUAAAGUGCUUGUAUAAGAAGGUAGGAUAUAAAUGAACUUGGAUUUGAUGCCAUCACCGUUAGUCAAUCUUAUUUUUUUGUCCAUUGCAUUGCCAACUUCAAAAAUAAAUUAAUUUUGUCAGUAUGUAG